GGCUGUGAUACCUCUAGCAGCAGGUGCAGUUGCCAUAGUACUGAUAGCCAUGCUGAUUGUUCUCAUCAUCGUCCGAAUCAGAAAAAGUAGGAAACGUACAGCAGAGGAGUCUGCACAUCAAACCGUACACAACUCUGAAGUGAGACCAUCAAGUGGGGUUGACUUGCACUAUUCACAACUGAGUCAACCUGAAUUCCAACAAGAAACAA